CCUACGGGAGGCAGCAGUGAGGAAUAUUGGUCAAUGGACGAGAGUCUGAACCAGCCAAGUAGCGUGAAGGAUGACUGUCCUAUGGGUUGUAAACUUCUUUUAUAUGGGAAUAAAAUGUUCCACGUGUGGGAUUUUGUAUGUACCAUAUGAAUAAGGAUCGGCUAACUCCGUGCCAGCAGCCGCGGUAAUACGGAGGAUCCGAGCGUUAUCCGGAUUUAUUGGGUUUAAAGGGAGCGUAGGUGGAUUGUUAAGUCAGUUGUGAAAGUUUGCGGCUGAACCGUAAAAUUGCAGUUGAAACUGGCAGUCUUGAGUACAGUAGAGGUGGGCGGAAUUCGUGGUGUAGCGGUGAAAUGCGUAGAUAUCACGAAGAACUCCGAUUGCGAAGGCAGUUCACUGGACUGCAACUGACACUGAGGCUCGAAAGUGUGGGUAUCAAACAGGAUUAGAUACCCCGGUAGUC
rnacentral:rRNA from 1 species